rnacentral:rRNA from 1 species
UACGUAGGGUGCAAGCGUUGUCCGGAAUUAUUGGGCGUAAAAGGAGCUCGUAGGCGGUUUGUCGCGUCUGCUGUGAAAACCCGAGGCUCAACCUCGGGCCUGCAGUGGGUACGGGCAGACUAGAGGCAGGUAGGGGAGAACGGAAUUCCCGGUGUAGCGGUGAAAUGCGCAGAUAUCGGGAGGAACACCGGUGGCGAAGGCGGUUCUCUGGGCCUGUACUGACGCUGAGGAGCGAAAGCGUGGGAGC